AUACUUACCUGGCAGGGGAGAUACCAUGAUCAAGAAGGUGGGGUUCACCCAGAGCUGAGGCUUCAGCCAUUGCACUCCGGGUUGUGUUGACCCCUGGCGAAUUCCCCCAAAUGUGAGAUCUCGACUGCAUAAUUUCUGGUAGGGGAUCAUGUCUCGCUCUCCCCUG